GAAGAAAAGCCACCCUGGGAGCAAAGCAAGUUAGGGUUGUAAGAGACAUUUCUGAGAUUAAAGCAGCCAGAUCUAUGAUGGGGUGGGUACGGGUGGUUAAAGAGAAACAGAACGUGAGAAUGACUCAUGAGACUAUUAAACUGACUUAACUGAAAUUUUAAAAAAGGGGGAAAUACCAACUACGAUGCACCCCCCCCACCCCCACCACACCAUGUUUUAAUGCUACUCAAGGUCUAUGGCUGGGAAAGGCCACUUGUUUUUCUUCAGUUAAUGCUGAGACUGUUUGUCUGCCAGAGACACCCCAUAGAGGAUCCAUCCUUAGACCUCAGUUAACGGCCUGGAUCUGGAAAGUGGUGGCUUCAAACAAAUCCAGCCCCUGCAUCCUCCAGAGAUCACAGCUGACAUAGAAUGUAUGUGUCUGCGGCAGGCAGCCAUGUGUGCAUCAGCCAGCAGCCUCCCCAUCAGCACCCUACAGUGGAAUUGUGGGGCUUCCCCCAACAGCACCCUCCAAAAUCAAGAAAAUAUUUCAAGGAAAUGACACGUGGAGAGGACAUGCAGGACAAGUGAUGAGAAUAAUCUUGUUCUGAAAAACCCUUGUUCUGAAGACAAGCUUGCUAAAUGCUUGGAAACCUGGUUUCCAAACAGCACCUCUGACUGAUGUCUGGAAAUCAUCCUACCCUCUCUGAAUCUUGCAAUAGGCUUCUCCAACUGACAUCUUUCACUGCAUCAUGAGGUAGUAGCUCCUCUGAGUCACUUCCCAGCUGGGACUGGGUUUGCUCAGCCCAGCCACUCUGCCUCUCCCACCCCUCCUGCAGCACCACCAUUACCCACUUUUUUUUUUUUUCUGGUUUCUGUAGAGCAGCCUGGUCCCUCAUAGACUCGAAUUCUCUCACCACCAAGACACUGGGCUAAGCAAGCUCUCUCCUGGCCUGCAGCACCUUGGUAUUCUCAGCCUCACACUUGAGGGCAUUUUUAUUCUUUUCUUUGCAGUCAUUUUGUCUUUUCACUGGAACUUAUCUUCCCUGCUUCUCAAGUCAAGAGUGGUACCAUAAGAAAACCAUGCCUUGUUUCUGCCAGCCUCAGCUCUAAGCAACUCCCACCUGAACCGCUGCAAGAACCUCCCAACCAUCCCCUCCACACCUAGGCAUGCACUUUCUAAUCUAUUUUCUAUACCUCAGCUACAACCAAAGCCACAGAACACAGCAGCUAAAGGUGCAGCCUUCAGAAUCACCCCAAGUUCUAGCUAUUUCGCUUCUUUCAGCCUUCCUAUCUGCAAAGUAGGGAUGAUCAUUAGAUUUACCUUGUUCAAUGGUUGUGAUUGCUAAAUGCAACAAUGUGCAGGGUACUCAGCAAAGUUGCUACCACAGUGCAAGUGCUCCAUAUAUUUUACCUAUCAUUAUCAUCAUCUUCAACAUCAUUACCAUUGCAGACCCCAUGUGCUUAGAAUUGGCCCAGCUUCUCCUGGCAACUGGACAGAGAACAGCAUGAACCACCAUGGCUUCUUGCACCACACUUCGAAAAAGGAAAUAUUAUUGCUCCAAGAUCCUGCCCACAAGACCCACACUGGCAUGUCAGUGAGACUGUGAUCAUCAUUGUGGGCACCAUCAUAGUUGCAUAACAACAAUUGGCCAUUGGAUUGCACAAUAUGGCACAGAGAGCCACCUCUAGGGAGUCUGAAACCCCAUGUCCAUGAUUGAAGGUGAUUUUGAGAUGUGGGAAGAGCAAGCAGGUAUCAAUGAUGAAAUCUAGGUGCUCAGAAACAGGGCAGGCAAAACAAUUGCAUGAACCCACAAACCUCCACAGUGUCUGUAAUGUGUAGUCCACUUUUGUGGCACUACAUUUUAUCUCAGAGAUACAACUAAUCUCAGUCUCUUUAUCUGCCAAGUUUCCUGAAUCCUUCUUUCCAGGAUGAAUAAAUUUCCUGGCAAAACAAGACCCAGGGGAAAGUUUUGAAUCCAUAUAAUAAUAUAUCACUGCAUUUGUCACGAACUCUUGAUUCAACAGAACUGAUUUUGUGCGCUUAGUCCUUGCCCUGGGGAUAGAACAUGAACAAGAGAGAAAGGGGCCUGCUCUCAUGGUCUUAUCCUUUAGCAAGAGAGAUAAUAAACAGGUAAAGACAUAAAUAAAUAAUAGACCUUCGGAGGAUGGUAAGAUCUACAGAUAAAAAUAUAACAGGGUAAUGAGCUAGAGAAGGUUAGAGAAAGGGAGGAUUGCUGGGAAGAUGGAAGGGGCUGCAUGUGGCCACUGGGAAGAUGUAAACAUUUGUAACCAGGUCUGUUGUGCAUGGAACAAGGACACACAAACAGGGUAGUAUGGAGAAAGGACAAAGUGACAUGUGCUGGCACCAAGAAGGAGCUCCAGAAAUGAUGGGUGUUAUGUUAGAAUCUACUGGGUGUCAUCAAGGGUGACCCAGGUACAGAUCCUCUGGACUCGGGGGGAAAAAGAGCCAGACAAUUAGACAAAUUGGAGGCACCCCUUCCCAGGAGACGGCCCUUUUGAGCAAGCUGCCAGUGACUGUCCCCUACAUUCAGAGAUGCUGCUGCCUGAGCUGCCAGGUUUCAAAUGCAAAGGGCUGGCUGGGAAUCAAGAGGCCCUUCUUCUCACGUUAAAGCGUAGCAGUCUGUUCUGUUCUCCUGUCAUGUCAUAAAUAAAGGAGCCUUGAUCUCAUAAAA
ensembl:lncRNA novel transcript